GUUUAACCUAGUUUUAAUUUAACUAGAGCUCUAAUUAUUUAAACAGUUAACAUUUAUAAUAAUAACAAAGUAAGAGGCCUAAGAAUGCCCUUAAUUGCAGUGUGUACGCAUGUCAUUGGCUUGGUUUUUAAAUAUUUACAACAAUAACAAGAACGUAAAAAACAACAGUGUGAAAGGAAUCACGCUUACGCUUCCACGAGCUGAAGAUCGCGAUUAUACUCGGCGAGAAAGAAUGAUGAGGUUAAUAUCCCGUGCGAUGCUACUGUUUGGACAGUCGGUUUCCCUGACGACACGCGAUUGAUUGUUUGCUGCGAGUUAUCUAUUAGCUGCAUGAUUAGCUGUUGCUUGUUUGGUUUAAUAGCUAUCAGGAGAAAAACUUGUAAAAUGAAAGAAAAAUGCAAUAAGUGCAAUGAUUAGGCGAAUACUCGCUCCAGAUUCUAAUCCAAGGAUGCCGAUGUCGAAAUAAGUGAGCAGCGACCCCUCCGGCUAUUUUGAUUCCCAUAUCUGUUGCUCGACAAAUGGACAUUUUUUAGAUCUAGAAAGUAUUGUGCGCUAAUCAUUUAAUUAAUA